rnacentral:tRNA from 1 species
UACUUCUAUAGGAAAGCAGAAAUCCGCUGGUUU